AGUGAACGCUGGCGGUAGGCCUAACACAUGCAAGUCGAGCGGCAGCACAGUAAGAGCUCGCUCUUACGGUUGGCGACUGGCGGACGGGUGAGGCAUACAUCGGCAUCUACUUUUUCGUGGGGGAUAACGUAGGGCAACUUAUGCUACCACCGCAUAUGUCCUACGGGUGAAAGCAGUGGAUCUUCGCACUUUUCGCGACUGUAUUAGCCGAUGUCGGAUUGGCUGGUUGGCGGGGUAAAAGCCCACCAGGGCGACGAUCCGUAGCUAGUCUGAGAGGAUGAUCGGCAACACUGGACCUGGAACACGGUCAGGACUCCUAGGGAGGGCGGAGGAGGGAAUAUUGGACAAUGGGCGAAAGCCUGAUGCAGCCAUACCGCGUGAGUGAAGAAGGCCUUCGGGUUGUAAAGCCCUGUUAUUGGGGAAGAACAGCUGCAGAUUAAUCUAUCGCUGUUCUGACGGUACCCAAAGAGUAAGCACCGGCUAACUACGUG
rnacentral:rRNA from 1 species